rnacentral:rRNA from 1 species
CAGUCGAACGGCAGCAUAGGAGCUUGCUCCUGAUGGCGAGUGGCGAACGGGUGAGUAAUAUAUCGGAACGUGCCCUAGAGUGGGGGAUAACUAGUCGAAAGAUUAGCUAAUACCGCAUACGAUCUACGGAUGAAAGUGGGGGAUCGCAAGACCUCAUGCUCAUGGAGCGGCCGAUAUCUGAUUAGCUAGUUGGUGGGGUAAAAGCUCACCAAGGCAACGAUCAGUAGCUGGUCUGAGAGGACGAUCAGCCACAUUGGGACUGAGACACGGCCCAAACUCCUACGGGAGGCAGCAGUGGGGAAUUUUGGACAAUGGGGGAAACCCUGAUCCAGCAAUGCCGCGUGAGUGAAGAAGGCCUUCGGGUUGUAAAGCUCUUUUGUCAGGGAAGAAACGGUAUCGAAUAAUACACGAUACUAAUGACGGUACCUGAAGAAUAAGCACCGGCUAACUACGUGCCAGCAGCCGCGGUAAUACGUAGGGUGCGAGCGUUAAUCGGAAUUACUGGGCGUAAAGCGUGCGCAGGCGGUUAUGCAAGACAGAUGUGAAAUCCCCGAGCUUAACUUGGGAAUUGCAUUUGUGACUGCAUAACUAGAGUGUGUCAGAGGGAGGUAGAAUUCCACGUGUAGCAGUGAAAUGCGUAGAUAUGUGGAGGAAUACCGAUGGCGAAGGCAGCCUCCUGGGAUAACACUGACGCUCAUGCACGAAAGCGUGGGGAGCAAACAGGAUUAGAUACCCUGGUAGUCCACGCCCUAAACGAUGUCUACUAGUUGUUGGGACUUAAUUGUCUUGGUAACGCAGCUAACGCGUGAAGUAGACCGCCUGGGGAGUACGGUCGCAAGAUUAAAACUCAAAGGAAUUGA